ACGCUGGCGGCAGGCCUAACACAUGCAAGUCGAGCGGUAGAGAGAAGCUUGCUUCUCUUGAGAGCGGCGGACGGGUGAGUAAUGCCUAGGAAUCUGCCUGGCAGUGGGGGAUAACGUUCGGAAACGGACGCUAAUACCGCAUACGUCCUACGGGAGAAAGCAGGGGACCUUCGGGCCUUGCGCUAUCAGAUGAGCCUAGGUCGGAUUAGCUAGUUGGUGAGGUAAUGGCUCACCAAGGCGACGAUCCGUAACUGGUCUGAGAGGAUGAUCAGUCACACUGGAACUGAGACACGGUCCAGACUCCUACGGGAGGCAGCAGUGGGGAAUAUUGGACAAUGGGCGAAAGCCUGAUCCAGCCAUGCCGCGUGUGUGAAGAAGGUCUUCGGAUUGUAAAGCACUUUAAGUUGGGAGGAAGGGCAGUUACCUAAUACGUGAUUGUUUUGACGUUACCGACAGAAUAAGCACCGGCUAACUCUGUGCCAGCAGCCGCGGUAAUACAGAGGGUGCAAGCGUUAAUCGGAAUUACUGAGCGUAAAGCGCGCGUAGGUGGUUUGUUAAGUUGGAUGUGAAAUCCCCGGGCUCAACCUGGGAACUGCAUUCAAAACUGACUGACUAGAGUAUGGUAGAGGGUGGUGGAAUUUCCUGUGUAGCGGUGAAAUGCGUAGAUAUAGGAAGGAACACCAGUGGCGAAGGCGACCACCUGGACUGAUACUGACACUGAGGUGCGAAAGCGUGGGGAGCAAAC
rnacentral:rRNA from 1 species